rnacentral:rRNA from 1 species
ACAUGCAGUCGAGGGGCAUCAGGAAGAAAGCUUGCUUUCUUUGCUGGCGACCGGCGCACGGGUGAGUAACACGUAUCCAACCUGCCCUUUACUCGGGGAUAGCCUUUCGAAAGAAAGAUUAAUACCCGAUAGCAUAAUGAUUCCGCAUGGUUUCAUUAUUAAAGGAUUCCGGUAAAGGAUGGGGAUGCGUUCCAUUAGGUUGUUGGUGAGGUAACGGCCCACCAAGCCUUCGAUGGAUAGGGGUUCUGAGAGGAAGGUCCCCCACAUUGGAACUGAGACACGGUCCAAACUCCUACGGGAGGCAGCAGUGAGGAAUAUUGGUCAAUGGGCGUUAGCCUGAACCAGCCAAGUAGCGUGAAGGAUGAAGGCUCUAUGGGUCGUAAACUUCUUUUAUAUAAGAAUAAAGUGCAGUAUGUAUACUGUUUUGUAUGUAUUAUAUGAAUAAGGAUCGGCUAACUCCGUGCCAGCAGCCGCGGUAAUACGGAGGAUCCGAGCGUUAUCCGGAUUUAUUGGGUUUAAAGGGAGCGUAGGUGGACUGGUAAGUCAGUUGUGAAAGUUUGCGGCUCAACCGUAAAAUUGCAGUUGAUACUGUCAGUCUUGAGUACAGUAGAGGUGGGCGGAAUUCGUGGUGUAGCGGUGAAAUGCUUAGAUAUCACGAAGAACUCCGAUUGCGAAGGCAGCUCACUGGACUGCAACUGACACUGAUGCUCGAAAGUGUGGGUAUCAAACAGGAUUAGAUACCCUGGUAGUCCACACAGUAAACGAUGAAUACUCGCUGUUUGCGAUAUACAGUAAGCGGCCAAGCGAAAGCAUUAAGUAUUCCACCUGGG